GAUGAACGCUGGCGGCGUGCCUAAUACAUGCAAGUCGAGCGAACAGACGAGGAGCUUACUCCUCUGACGUUAGCGGCGGACGGGUGAGUAACACGUGGAUAACCUACCUAUAAGACUGGGAUAACUUCGGGAAACCGGAGCUAAUACCGGAUAACAUGUUGAACCGCAUGGUUCAACAGUGAAAGACGGUCUUGCUGUCACUUAUAGAUGGAUCCGCGUCGCAUUAGCUAGUUGGUAAGGUAACGGCUUACCAAGGCAACGAUGCGUAGCCGACCUGAGAGGGUGAUCGGCCACACUGGAACUGAGACACGGUCCAGACUCCUACGGGAGGCAGCAGUAGGGAAUCUUCCGCAAUGGGCGAAAGCCUGACGGAGCAACGCCGCGUGAGUGAAGAAGGUCUUCGGAUCGUAAAACUCUGUUAUUAGGGAAGAACAAAUGUGUAAGUAACUAUGCACGUCUGGACGGUACCUAAUCAGAAAGCCACGGCUAACUACGU
rnacentral:rRNA from 1 species